rnacentral:rRNA from 1 species
CAGUCGCCGCGGGAACACGAAGGGGGCUAGCGUUGCUCGGAAUGACUGGGCGUAAAGGGCGCGUAGGCGGUUCGUACAGUUGGAUGUGAAAUUCCUGGGCUUAACCUGGGGGCUGCAUUCAACACGUGCGGGCUUGAGUGUGGAAGAGGGUUAUGGAAUUCCCAGUGUAGAGGUGAAAUUCGUAGAUAUUGGGAAGAACACCGGUGGCGAAGGCGGCAACCUGGUCCAUAACUGACGCUGAGGCGCGAAAGCGUGGGGAGCAAACAGGAUUAGAUACCCGCGUAGUCCCUGUCUCUUAUAC